GUUUCACGUCCAAGCUGAGUGAUCUGUGUUGUAGCUGAGUAUUACGCGACCGAGGUAUGUUCUCCACUCCUUAGGUGAGUGCUCCCAGUCUGAAGUGAGUGUUUCACGUCCAAGCUGAGUGAUCUGUGUUGUAGCUGAGUAUUACGCGACCGAGGUAUGUUCUCCACUCCUUAGGUGAGUGCUCCCAGUCUGAAGUGAGUGUUUCACGUCCAAGCUGAGUGAUCUGUGUUGUAGCUGAGUAUUACGCGACCGAGGUAUGUUCUCCACUCCUUAGGUGAGUGCUCCCAGUCUGAAGUGAGUGUUUCACGUCCAAGCUGAGUGAUCUGUGUUGUAGCUGAGUAUUACGCGACCGAGGUAUGUUCUCCACUCCUUAGGUGAGUGCUCCCAGUCUGAAGUGAGUGUUUCACGUCCAAGCUGAGUGAUCUGUGUUGUAGCUGAGUAUUACGCGACCGAGGUAUGUUCUCCACUCCUUAGGUGAGUGCUCCCAGUCUGAAGUGAGUGUUUCACGUCCAAGCUGAGUGAUCUGUGUUGUAGCUGAGUAUUACGCGACCGAGGUAUGUUCUCCACUCCUUAGGUGAGUGCUCCCAGUCUGAAGUGAGUGUUUCACGUCCAAGCUGAGUGAUCUGUGUUGUAGCUGAGUAUUACGCGACCGAGGUAUGUUCUCCACUCCUUAGGUGAGUGCUCCCAGUCUGAAGUGAGUGUUUCACGUCCAAGCUGAGUGAUCUGUGUUGUAGCUGAGUAUUACGCGACCGAGGUAUGUUCUCCACUCCUUAGGUGAGUGCUCCCAGUCUGAAGUGAGUGUUUCACGUCCAAGCUGAGUGAUCUGUGUUGUAGCUGAGUAUUACGCGACCGAGGUAUGUUCUCCACUCCUUAGGUGAGUGCUCCCAGUCUGAAGUGAGUGUUUCACGUCCAAGCUGAGUGAUCUGUGUUGUAGCUGAGUAUUACGCGACCGAGGUAUGUUCUCCACUCCUUAGGUGAGUGCUCCCAGUCUGAAGUGAGUGUUUCACGUCCAAGCUGAGUGAUCUGUGUUGUAGCUGAGUAUUACGCGACCGAGGUAUGUUCUCCACUCCUUAGGUGAGUGCUCCCAGUCUGAAGUGAGUGUUUCACGUCCAAGCUGAGUGAUCUGUGUUGUAGCUGAGUAUUACGCGACCGAGGUAUGUUCUCCACUCCUUAGGUGAGUGCUCCCAGUCUGAAGUGAGUGUUUCACGUCCAAGCUGAGUGAUCUGUGUUGUAGCUGAGUAUUACGCGACCGAGGUAUGUUCUCCACUCCUUAGGUGAGUGCUCCCAGUCUGAAGUGAGUGUUUCACGUCCAAGCUGAGUGAUCUGUGUUGUAGCUGAGUAUUACGCGACCGAGGUAUGUUCUCCACUCCUUAGGUGAGUGCUCCCAGUCUGAAGUGAGUGUUUCACGUCCAAGCUGAGUGAUCUGUGUUGUAGCUGAGUAUUACGCGACCGAGGUAUGUUCUCCACUCCUUAGGUGAGUGCUCCCAGUCUGAAGUGAGUGUUUCACGUCCAAGCUGAGUGAUCUGUGUUGUAGCUGAGUAUUACGCGACCGAGGUAUGUUCUCCACUCCUUAGGUGAGUGCUCCCAGUCUGAAGUGAGUGUUUCACGUCCAAGCUGAGUGAUCUGUGUUGUAGCUGAGUAUUACGCGACCGAGGUAUGUUCUCCACUCCUUAGGUGAGUGCUCCCAGUCUGAAGUGAGUGUUUCACGUCCAAGCUGAGUGAUCUGUGUUGUAGCUGAGUAUUACGCGACCGAGGUAUGUUCUCCACUCCUUAGGUGAGUGCUCCCAGUCUGAAGUGAGUGUUUCACGUCCAAGCUGAGUGAUCUGUGUUGUAGCUGAGUAUUACGCGACCGAGGUAUGUUCUCCACUCCUUAGGUGAGUGCUCCCAGUCUGAAGUGAGUGUUUCACGUCCAAGCUGAGUGAUCUGUGUUGUAGCUGAGUAUUACGCGACCGAGGUAUGUUCUCCACUCCUUAGGUGAGUGCUCCCAGUCUGAAGUGAGUGUUUCACGUCCAAGCUGAGUGAUCUGUGUUGUAGCUGAGUAUUACGCGACCGAGGUAUGUUCUCCACUCCUUAGGUGAGUGCUCCCAGUCUGAAGUGAGUGUUUCACGUCCAAGCUGAGUGAUCUGUGUUGUAGCUGAGUAUUACGCGACCGAGGUAUGUUCUCCACUCCUUAGGUGAGUGCUCCCAGUCUGAAGUGAGUGUUUCACGUCCAAGCUGAGUGAUCUGUGUUGUAGCUGAGUAUUACGCGACCGAGGUAUGUUCUCCACUCCUUAGGUGAGUGCUCCCAGUCUGAAGUGAGUGUUUCACGUCCAAGCUGAGUGAUCUGUGUUGUAGCUGAGUAUUACGCGACCGAGGUAUGUUCUCCACUCCUUAGGUGAGUGCUCCCAGUCUGAAGUGAGUGUUUCACGUCCAAGCUGAGUGAUCUGUGUUGUAGCUGAGUAUUACGCGACCGAGGUAUGUUCUCCACUCCUUAGGUGAGUGCUCCCAGUCUGAAGUGAGUGUUUCACGUCCAAGCUGAGUGAUCUGUGUUGUAGCUGAGUAUUACGCGACCGAGGUAUGUUCUCCACUCCUUAGGUGAGUGCUCCCAGUCUGAAGUGAGUGUUUCACGUCCAAGCUGAGUGAU